rnacentral:rRNA from 1 species
UACGUAGGGCGCAAGCGUUGUCCGGAAUUAUUGGGCGUAAAGAGCUCGUAGGCGGUCUGUUACGUCUGCUGUGAAAACCCGGGGCUUAACCCUGGGCUUGCAGUGGAUACGGGCAGACUAGAGGCAGGUAGGGGAGAAUGGAAUUCCCGGUGUAGCGGUGAAAUGCGCAGAUAUCGGGAGGAACACCGGUGGCGAAGGCGGUUCUCUGGGCCGAUACUGACGCUGAGGAGCGAAAGCGUGGGGAGCGAACAGG